ensembl:lncRNA
CUGUGGGUGAGCACUGGGCUGGGGGCCCUCUCCUCAGAGAGUGUAAUCAAGAAGAUAAGACGCAUGCACAAAUAUCUUGAAUAAACCUCAGAAAACAGGCAUAAAUUAAAUGUAGGAGCCCAGAGAAGAUCAGAACAGUGUCACAGCCGACCUACACUCCAUCUACACUCACCUUACUACUGUUCGCUGUACAGGCUCUGCUCAUUCUCCCUCACGGACUUUGCGCUUGCUAGUUCUCUCUGAAGUUCUCUUAUAAUUUCCCUCUCCUCUCAAAUGUUCCCCCUCAGCAAGGUCUUUCUUUCCAUGGCCACUUCCCAGAACCCAGGACAGACCCAGAACAGACCUGGCACUCGAUAAAUAUUGUUGAGUAAAUUCUAAAUGAUGCCUUCGAGGAAGUGAUCUUUGAUCACAGGCUUCAGGGAUGGUGGGAGAUUAAUAGUGACGCCGGGAAAGAAAGACAGGAGGGCAGAGUCUUUGCGGAAGAAAGAACAAGACAGUAACAUGGGACAGCCCAUGAACAGGAACAGAAAUUGUUACGCCUGGUCAGUCCCCAUAACCGCCAGCCAGAAGAAAGAGAUUAAACUAACUCCAAAGUCGGUGGUAUGGAGUUGGGGUGGAUUCAACUAUUAUAUUGAUUUCAUCCACGCCACUUCUAAGUCUUCGGGGGUUUUCCCUCAGUUUUAUAGUCAUUACUCAUUAGAACCUAAGCACUGCAUUUUUAAUAGGAAAUAAUUCAAACUCACGGGAUGCAAGACAGCACUUGAGUUGUAAUAUUAAUCUGCCUUUUAAGGCCCCUCUGGCCGACCGGGCUCAGCAUCCUAAGUUAUGACAUUGCUUGUGAUUCAUUAAAAUCCAGCCAGUUCGGGGAAGGAGGGACACCGACCACUUUAACACAGGACUAGCUGUCUUCAACCACCUUUCUCAGGUUCAGACAAUCCAAGUCGCUAAAGGAGCUGCGCAGGAAGACCCACCACACUGUUCUGGACCCCUCUUAAAGCUCUCCGAUGGCCUGUUAAAAAAGGAUUGAGUCUCAGAUGGAAAACUGCCGAAAGCGUCUUGUUUUGAUGCUUGGAACAAUGUAAUGCUGAUUCCAUUAAUUUCUGCGAGAAACAGCUCUGCUCGCUAACCCACUUGCGGCCCGCAGAUGGUUACAGGGUAAACAGUGCUCCCUGGUGGCAACGACCGGCGUUGUCUGCUGGUUGAGAAAGAGAAAGAAGAAGAGCUCAGGUUUUGGCCUCUGAGCAAAGUGGCAGACAGCAGUGUCAUCAAGCUCAGCAGCGUUUCACAGUGAUGGCGUCCUUCUCCUCAGGACCAGUACUGGUCACCAUUAGCCCCUUUGCCUCUGACUUGUGAACAGACUGGAACUUGCAGGAGACUCUGGAGAGGCAAGAGUGUCCAGCUUCCAGAGUAGGGCAGCGCAGUGCAAUGCCAGGGGAACCGUUCCCGGAGGAGAGGAAGGAGUUCAGCCUGUGCUGUGGCCAAGUGAGUGCCUACUGGAUCCAUCUUCACACAGGGAACAACUAACAUUCUGCAGGAAAUACGAAACAAAAAGAUCACAAACAAGUGGACACAACGACCUUCCUGAAGGCUCUGAAGAGAGAAGGGACAUUGGAUGAAGGAAAAGGCAUGGAGAAAGGUUCCUGUGUUUGUGGCUUGUCUCCUGAGAACAGGUCACGUCACUGUUGCAUGGAACAACUUACUGUCCUGUGGAAAACAACACUUUCUGGUCUGAAGGACCAGAGGACAGGGUUUGGAACAAUCACAGCCACUGCAAAGUAGAGGCGAGGAGUCCAAAACUGGACAGAACCAGAAAGGAAGACCCUCAAAUUCUGCUCAUAAAUGUCACCCCAGUUUUCGGAAGACCCAUGAACCACAUAUGCAUGGAGGGUAAAAGACCUGAACUGAUUUGAGCUGCAGCCCCAGAGACAUUUUUUUGAGUCCAACUAAGUUGAUCGCCAGCCAACAUUUUAAAAGUUAACGCUUUUCUGGGGCUGGCCCCGUGGUCGAGUGGUUAAGUUCGCGCGCUCUGCUGCAGGCGGCCCAGUGUUUCGUUGGUUCGAAUCCUGGGCGCGGACAUGGCACAGCUCAUCAAACCACGCUGAGGCAGCAUCCCACAUGCCACAACCUAGAAGGACCCACAACGAAGAAUAUACAACUAUGUACCGGAGGGGCUUUGGGGAGAAAAAGGAAAAAAUAAAAUCUUUAAAAAAAAAAAAAAAGUUAACGCUUUUCUGAAUAGAACAGAAUUCAGAGUCUCCACAGAAUACAGAAUCCCCACAGCAUAACAUUUACAAUGUGCAGAGAAUAAUCCAAAAUUAUCUGACAUUCAAAACCCAGGACAAUGCAGGAGCAGAGCCGAGGGCCGUCUCCGUCAGCCAUCCCAGUGAUUUUCUUGUGCUCGUUCCUGCAUUCGAUAACCAUGUUUAAAGUAUCUACGAUGGUUCCUGUUCCUGCUCUGCUCCUUGGCUAAAACAGGGAGUAACGUCGCUGGUGACCUAGCUCAAGGGGAAACUAGGAAGUAUUCUAUAUUCCUACAACUAAAAGAAAGUGAUCAUAGAUCCAGAGGAAAAACUAAGAAGUGAAUACUUUCAAAUAGAAGGAUAAUAUUUUUUUUGAAAUGCCCAUGGAAGCAAGAAAACUUCAAUUAAAAUCCUGCCCUUUCUCCCUCUCAGCUGUAUAAUGAAUCUUUCUUCUCUCCCAUUCUCUGUCCUUCCUCCUUCUCCUCUCUGCCAAAGGUGAGUGCCAGGCAUUUUGUUACAGAUGUAGAUUUUGUGGUCAGCAAGAUAGGAAUAAUCCCCCCUUUCAUGGAGCCCUUAGCUCAAUGAUUUAACCUCUCAGCCUCAUUUUUUAAAUUACCAAAAUAGGGACAAUUAUAUUUACCUUUCAGGGUGGUUUUGUUAGUCAGAAUUCUUUCAAAUAUCCUAAAGCAGAAUGGAAAAUUUAUUAGCUCCCACAAAUGGAAAGUUCAGGGGUGCAGGUGGCUUCAGGUACAGCUGAAUCCAGGGUCAAUGAAAGAAUCAUAUAUCUGAGUUAUCUUUCUCUGCAUCUACU